GGACAGGCUGCGGAUGGUAAGACAACACAGUGCCUCAUCCCAGGGUGCAAAGCAUCCUUGUUGUUUCCGUUCCCACCUCCAGUCCCAAGUCGCUCACUCAAGAUGCUGAGCUGGUGGACAAGUCUUUGGCUGAUCUGAAACUUCUGGGGGAGCUUCUUCACAACAGUUGUGCCUCAGCCAUGGAGGAAUAUGAAGAGCAGCUGAAAGACAACCCUCCAAAAGAUUAAAGGGGGAAAGACGAAGUGCUGUGCAAAUAAAGAGAACAAAACCAUCAAAGGCAAUGAUGAGCAUGGGAAUGAAGUCUCUCCUAAGCAUUCGGAAAAACAGUCAGAAGAAGGAGAGGUCAAAGUAAAGCAAACCCCAUAGAUCCCAUCAUCUCUGUCUCACCGGUCCCAGUUCAGUAAAAGGCCCCAGCAGCUAAGAUUCUGGAGGAAGGCGGGUCAUUGGAAAAACAGCUGGUGGAUGACAUCUUGGGAGGAUGGAUGGGAUAAGAGCCGUGCAAAGAAGAAACAGAAGAAAGAGUACAAAGAAGAUCCAGAGAAGCAGGCUGCAAUCAAGAAGAAAAAGGAAGAAGAGAAGGAAAGAACAAAAACAGAGGACAAAAAAAA